GAUGAACGCUGGCGGCGUGCCUAAUACAUGCAAGUCGAGCGAAUGGAUUGAGAGCUUGCUCUUAUGAAGUUAGCGGCGGACGGGUGAGUAACACGUGGGUAACCUGCCCAUAAGACUGGGAUAACUCCGGGAAAACGGGGCUAAUACCGGAUAACAUUUUGAACCGCAUGGUUCGAAAUUGAAAGGCGGCUUCGGCUGUCACUUAUGGAUGGACCAGCGUCGCAUUAGCUAGUUGGUGAGGUAACGGCUCACCAAGGCAACGAUGCUUAGCCGACCUGAGAGGGUGAUCGGCCACACUGGGACUGAGACACGGCCCAGACUCCUACGGGAGGCAGCAGUAGGGAAUCUUCCGCAAUGGACGAAAGUCUGACGGAGCAACGCCGCGUGAGUGAUGAAGGCUUUCGGGUCGUAAAACUCUGUUGUUAGGGAAGAACAAGUGCUAGUUGAAUAAGCUGGCACCUUGACGGUACCUAACCAGAAAGCCACGGCUAACUACGUGCCAGCCGCCGCCGUAA
rnacentral:rRNA from 1 species